GACCUGGUAGUCCACGCUGUAAACGAUGUCGACUUGGAGGUUGUUCCCUUGAGGAGUGGCUUCCGGAGCUAACGCGUUAAGUCGACCGCCUGGGGAGUACGGCCGCAAGGUUAAAACUCAAAUGAAUUGACGGGGGCCCGCACAAGCGGUGGAGCAUGUGGUUUAAUUCGAUGCAACGCGAAGAACCUUACCUACUCUUGACAUCCAGAGAACUUAGCAGAGAUGCUUUGGUGCCUUCGGGAACUCUGAGACAGGUGCUGCAUGGCUGUCGUCAGCUCGUGUUGUGAAAUGUUGGGUUAAGUCCCGCAACGAGCGCAACCCUUAUCCUUUGUUGCCAGCGAUUCGGUCGGGAACUCAAAGGAGACUGCCAGUGAUAAACUGGAGGAAGGUGGGGAUGACGUCAAGUCAUCAUGGCCCUUACGAGUAGGGCUACACACGUGCUACAAUGGCAUAUACAAAGAGAAGCGACCUCGCGAGAGCAAGCGGACCUCAUAAAGUAUGUCGUAGUCCGGAUUGGAGUCUGCAACUCGACUCCAUGAAGUCGGAAUCGCUAGUAAUCGUGGAUCAGAAUGCCACGGUGAAUACGUUCCCGGGCCUUGUACACACCGCCCGUCACACCAUGGGAGUGGGUUGCAAAAGAAGUAGGUAGCUUAAC
rnacentral:rRNA from 2 species